GAAAAGGUAAGCUAAAUAAGCUCUUGGGUUCAUACCCCACUUAUAAAGGUCUUACCCCUUUCUUUUUCA
rnacentral:tRNA from 1 species